rnacentral:rRNA from 1 species
UACGGGGGGAGCAAGCGUUGUUCGGAUUUACUGGGCGUAAAGGGCGCGUAGGCGGCCAGCACAAGUCAGUUGUGAAAUCUCCGAGCUUACUCGGAACGGUCAACUGAUACUGUGCGGCUAGAGUGCGGAAGGGGCAACUGGAAUUCUUGGUGUAGCGGUGAAAUGCGUAGAUAUCAAGAGGAACACCUGCGGCGAAGGCGGGUUGCUGGGCCGACACUGACGCUGAGGCGCGAAAGCCAGGGGAGCAAACAGG